CCUACGGGUGGCAGCAGUGAGGAAUAUUGGUCAAUGGGCGCGAGCCUGAACCAGCCAAGUAGCGUGAAGGAUGACUGCCCUAUGGGUUGUAAACCUCUUUUAUAAAGGAAUAAAGUGAGCCACGUGUGCCUUUUUGUAUGUACUUUAUGAAUAAGGAUCGGCUAACUUCGUGCCAGCAGCCGCGGUAAUACGGAGGAUCCGAGCGUUAUCCGGAUUUUUUGGGUUUAAAGGGAGCGUAGAUGGGUUGUUAAGUCAGUUGUGAAAGUUUGGGGCUCAACCGUAAAAUUGCAAUUGAUACUGGCAGUCUUGAGUACAGGUGAGGUAGGCGGAAUGCGUGGUGUAGCGGUGAAAUGCUUAGAUAUCACGAAGAACUCCGAUUGCGAAGGCAGCUUACUAGACUGCCACUGACAUUGAUGCUCGAAAGUGUGGGUAUCAAACAGGAUUAGAUACCCUUGUAGUC
rnacentral:rRNA from 1 species